GAUGAAGAACGUAGCGAAAUGCGAUAAGUAAUGUGAAUUGCAGAAUUCAGUGAAUCAUCGAAUCUUUGAACGCACAUUGCGCCCCCUGGUAUUCCGGGGGGCAUGCCUGUUCGAGCGUCAUUUCACCACUCAAGCCUCGCUUGGUAUUGGGCAACGCGGUCCGCCGCGUGCCUCAAAUCGACCGGCUGGGUAUUCUGUCCCCUAAGCGUUGUGGAAACUAUUCGCUAAAGGGUGCUCGGGAGGCUACGCCGUAAAACAAACCCAUUUCUAAGGUUGACCUCGGAUCAGGUAGGGAUACCCGCUGAACUUAAGCAUAUCAAUAAGCGGAGGA
rnacentral:misc_RNA from 1 species